rnacentral:rRNA from 1 species
GUUUAAGAGACAACCUGGAGAACUGAAACAUCUAAGUAACCAGAGGAAAAGAAAUCAAUUGAGAUUCCGUUAGUAGUGGCGAGCGAACGCGGACUAGGCCAGUAAUUUUGUUAAAAAAAUUUGAAUAGUUUGGAAAUGCUAACCAUAGAGGGUGAUAGUCCCGUAUGAGUAAUGUUUAACAAAAUUCUUGAGUAAAGCGGGACACGAGAAAUCCUGCUCGAAUAUAGGGGGACCACCCUCUAAGCCUAAAUACUCUUCAGUGACCGAUAGCGAACUAGUACCGUGAGGGAAAGGUGAAAAGAACCCCUAUUAGGGGAGUGAAAUAGAACCUGAAACUGCAUGCCUACAAUCAGUCGAAGCUCUUUUUAGAGUGACGGCGUACCUUUUGUAUAAUGGGUCAGUGACUUAAUUUAUUAAGCAAGCUUAAGCCAUCUAGGUGUAGGCGCAGCGAAAGCAAGUCUUAAUAGGGCGAUUAGUUUAAUGAAUUAGACCCGAAAACGAAUGAGCUUACCAUGAGCAGGUUGAAAGUUGGGUAACACCAACCGGAGGACCGAACCAGUUGACGUUGAAAAGUCUUUGGAUGACUUGUGGUAAGGGGUGAAAGGCCAACCAAAUUCGUAGAUAGCUGGUUUUCCGCGAAAACUAUUUAGGUAGUGCGUUGAAUAAAUAGAUGUUUAGAGGUAGAGCACUAAAUGGGCUAGGGGGAAGAGAUUCUUACCAAACCUAAUAAAACUCCGAAUGCUAGACAUUGU